GUGCUUGCUUCGGCAGCACAUAUACUAAAAUUGGAACGACACAGAGAUUAGCAUGGUCGCUGCGCAAGGAUGACAUGCAAAUUCGUGAAGCGUUCCAUAUUUUC